rnacentral:SRP_RNA from 1 species
GCCGGGCGCGGUGGCGCGCGCCUGUAGUCCCAGCUACUCGGGAGGCUGAGGCAGGAGGAUCGCUUGAGCCCAGGAGUUCUGGGCUGUAGUGCGCUAUGCCAAUCUGGUGUCCGCACUAAGUUGGGCAUCAAUAUGGUGAGCUCCGGGGAGGGGGGGACCACCAGGUUGCCUAAGGAGGGGUGAACUGGCCCAGGUCGGAAACGGAGCAGGUCAAAAAUGGUACAACCAGUUUGGAAAGCAGUCUGGACGAUCUUCAAGAAGUUAAACAGAGAAUUACUAUAUGAU